GGCGUAAAGCGCGUGCAGGUGGUUUCGUAAGUUGGACGUGAAAUCUCUCGGCUUAACUGGGAGUCGCCGUUCAAUACUGCGGAACUGGAGGGCAGGAGAGGGAGGUGGAAUUCCCGGUGUAGUGGUGAAAUGCGUAGAUAUCGGGAGGAACACCAGUGGCGAAGGCGGCCUCCUGGCCUGCUCCUGACGCUGAGACGCGAAAGCUAGGGGAGCGAACGGGAUUAGAAACCCCGGUAGUCCUAGCCGUAAACGAUGGAUGCUGGGUGUCGGUGGUAUUGACCCCAUCGGUGCCGAAGCCAACGCGUUAAGCAUCCCGCCUGGGGACUACGGCCGCAAGGUUAAAACUCAAAGGAAUUGACGGGGCCCCGCACAAGCAGCGGAGCGUGUGGUUUAAUUCGAUGCUACGCGAAGAACCUUACCCGGGUUUGACAUGCAGGUAGUAGUGAAGCGAAAGCGGAACGACCCUUCGGGGAGCCUGCACAGGUGCUGCAUGGCUGUCGUCAGCUCGUGCCGUGAGGUGUUAGGUUAAGUCCUGUAACGAGCGCAACCCCUGUCGUCAGUUACAUGUGUCUGACGAGACUGCCGGUCAUAAACCGGAGGAAGGUCGGGAUGAUGUCAAGUCAGCAUGGCCUUUAUAUCCGGGGCUACACACACGCUACAAUGGCCGGUACAAUGGGUCGCCAAGCCGUGAGGCGGAGCCAAUCCUGAAAAGCCGGUCUCAGUUCGGAUUGCAGGCUGCAACCCGCCUGCAUGAA
rnacentral:rRNA from 1 species